CGACGCGGCCGCGGUCACAUUUCGAUAUAAUUUAUAACGCGAACAAUACGAGCGGCGGGUACUUACGGGUCUGUGCGCUUAUAUAAUUAGACGAACGGAAUAAUCGUCGCGCCGCAGCUCCUGUACGGCCUCCGAGACGCGGGAGAUACGAUAUUACGUAAUCGCAAACGCACGAUUUUCGGUACGCCCAACCGGCUCCGAUAUCGACUGCCGCGCAUUUCCCGAACGGUUAACGACGAGACGGACGGGUACGUCACGCAUUGUACCGCGGCGACCGCGCGUAACAAUAGC